UCCAUCAUUAAUCUGCAAGGAAAAACGGUUCGCUGGAAAAAAUACCCGUACGCUUCCCUCGCUCGACCCUGCCUUGCCGAGCCAAAUCCCCUAGCCGCCGUCGAGGCCGACUUCAACCCGCUCGCUGCCGCGGCCGCAACUCUGCCCGCUCGCCGCCCCUGCCGCAGCGCUCGAGCGCAGCUUCUGGAUCAGAUCAACGCGGCGGCUCGAGGGGCUGGGGACGAUGCGUCUGCUCGGUGCAGACCGGCGGUGGCGGGAUCCAGCGGGCGCGGGAGAAGGAGGCCGGCAUCCAGCGCGGCGGGAGAAGUCCUUGCAGGUGGAGGCGGGCCUCCAUGGCUGGCAGGGAGAGCUCCAAGGUCAUGGUGGGGCUUUGAUUUUUCUGGUAUAAAAGAGAGAUAGAAGAGGAUCCAGGGAGGAGGAGAGGUAGGAGAAGAAGGACGGGGAAGAAGGAAGGGUGCGGCAGGGGUGCAGCGAUGCAAGGGCACUGGUCUCGCGCGUGAGGAGCGCCUCUCCUCAGGAGGAUAGGGAGGGAGCGAGUGAAACUCAAAUCCACUUCAGAGCAAGGUACCGUUGUAGAAGUAUGAAGAAGCAAGAUGACCAGAUGUACACGUACUAGCCGGCAACGACGAUGAAGCAAGCCAACCAGGUGUGCACGAAACUACCAUACAUCAUGCCUGAUUGAUCCUUCGGUACGUGUUCCAUUGGCUAAUAGCCCAUGCUAGCUAGCUAGCAACCAUGUAAAUUUCCCACACUUGAUUGAUUCCUUUAGCACUUUAUUAAUUUUAUAUGUUCUUCCCAUGGUUAUCUAGAUAAUACUAACUAUUGAUGUUUCUUUCACGCAUACAUGGCUUUGCUAGGAGUUUUUCCACUGGUGAGGUCUGAACUCUGAAUAUUAUGAACUUAAGGAUAAAUCUUAUAGCAGAUCAAAAUCAUGGUCCACGCAAAAAAGAAGAUCAGAAUCAUAUGGUUGUGCUGAUUCUAUAGGGGCCUCAUGAUGGUUUGUGUUCUUUUAUUCAAAUGAAAAAACCAAGAUUAUUAUUGUAACUGUUACAGUUGUACUAGCAGGAUUAUCCUAGAAGCUGUGUCAAUUUUUCAUCAAUUGAUAUCACAGUAAGGUAGUGAAUCAUCUUUGUAGACUUUACCAUGCCUAGAUUGGUUGACUUGGAUCAUGUGUAUGUCUUAAACUUUUAGAAAAUUCUCACUUUUUAUGCUAAGCUUGUAUUUGAAGAUACGAGUUGAGGUGUGUCUUGGGACAGUGUGACUAAAAAACGAACCUUCAGUUUCUGCAAUCAGAAGAAAAGUGAGUGAUUUUUCAAUGAAAACAUAAUACUUCUGAGCAUAAGCAUGAUAAAGUGCAGCAACUGACUUGGCUUAUUGUUUUGGAAAUCGCAACCGGUACUCACCUAAUUGUUUUUGUGAUCACUGGUGUUGUUACUGCCUCCAAAAGCUGCAAUCUAAAGCCUUCUAUAAGAAUAUCAUCACAGAGUAGAUCAAAAAGUUGGAGCGGCGAGAUAACAGUACUGAUUGAUUUUGAUAUGCUGAAAAUUUGCCAAAGUAGAGUCGCUAGGAACUUGAAGUAGCGUGUGAGGAUUUUAGCAACAUAAUUGGCUCAACUCCGGAGAAUGUAGCCUACAAAGGAACAAUGAAGGAUGGACAUGAGGUUUCUUUCAUAUCAUUAUUCCCCUUUGAAGGUCAUUGGACUAGCCAGCAUGAGCUCUUUUACCAAAACAAGGUUAUUGAUAUGGAAAGGUUGAAUCAUGAGAACAUAGCAAAGUUUCUGGACUAUUGCAGAGAGAGUGACCCAUUCUAAAGGAUGUUAGUCUUUGAGUACGCAUCAAAUGGGACCCUGUACGAGCACCUACACUAUGGGGAAGCGGCCCAAUUCUCUUGGCUCAGACGAAUGAAAAUAGCCAUCGGCAUCACCCAAAGCUUAAGGUAUCUGCACACCGAGUCGCGGCCUCCUUUCGCUAUAUCAGAGCUGAAAUCCAAUUCAGUAUACGUUACAGAAGAUUUUACCCCCAAGGCUGACGAUGUCGUCUAUUGAAGCCCCACCGGCGACGCGACGGGAGAGCUCCAACCUGUACAUGGGUGUGGGGACACAAAUCCGCGUCGCCAGCCUACACAAGGCCAUGUCAACACGCUGACGCAAGGGUUCAUCAUCCGUCUUCGUCAGGUAGCCAAAGUGGUCCACCUUUCCUCUUUCUCAUCAGAUCCGUUUUAUUGUGAUAUUGCAUUUAAGUGUAUCAAAUUUUAUGAUUCUUUUAGUGUUAAAGAAGAUGGAUUUUUACCUGAAUAAAUUCCGUGUAUAGAUAUGUAGAGGAUGAACUCAACAAGCGGAUCUUUGAAGGUUAA